rnacentral:rRNA from 1 species
CUUAACACAUGCAAGUCGAACGGAAAGGCCCUGCUUGCAGGGUACUCGAGUGGCGAACGGGUGAGUAACACGUGGGUGAUCUGCCCUGCACUUCGGGAUAAGCUUGGGAAACUGGGUCUAAUACCGGAUAGGAGCCAUCUUUAGUGUGGUGGUUGGAAAGUUUUUUCGGUGUAGGAUGAGCUCGCGGCCUAUCAGCUUGUUGGUGGGGUAAUGGCCUACCAAGGCGGCGACGGGUAGCCGGCCUGAGAGGGUGUACGGCCACAUUGGGACUGAGAUACGGCCCAGACUCCUACGGGAGGCAGCAGUGGGGAAUAUUGCACAAUGGGCGCAAGCCUGAUGCAGCGACGCCGCGUGGGGGAUGAAGGCCUUCGGGUUGUAAACUCCUUUCGCUAGGGACGAAGCUUCGUGUGACGGUACCUAGAUAAGAAGCACCGGCUAACUACGUGCCAGCAGCCGCGGUAAUACGUAGGGUGCGAGCGUUGUCCGGAAUUACUGGGCGUAAAGAGCUCGUAGGUGGUUUGUCGCGUCGUCUGUGAAAUUCUGGGGCUUAACUCCGGGCGUGCAGGCGAUACGGGCAUAACUUGAGUGCUGUAGGGGUAACUGGAAUUCCUGGUGUAGCGGUGAAAUGCGCAGAUAUCAGGAGGAACACCGAUGGCGAAGGCAGGUU